rnacentral:lncRNA from 1 species
AACCCUGUAAGCAUUAAUCAUUCCUCAUUCUGUCUCAAACCCUCUCUCCGAUGCUCAGCACUAGGUAACAACUACAUAGAGUGCUCAAACCUAUCUCCAUAGAUUUGCAUGUUGUGGACAUUUCCUAUAAACAGAAUUAUACAGUAUGUAAGCUUUUAUGACUGACUUUACACUUAUCAGAAUAUUUUCAAAGUUCAUCCACAUUGUAGCGUUAUCCAGAGUGAGAAACAAUUUUUUUUUUUUUAGUAACACCAGGCGUUUUCUCCUGGCUUCCUUCCUUCCUCCUAUUUCUCUCUUACUCCUUCUGCCCUCUGUGUUUUAUAUUCCUUAGGUGCAUCCUACUUUCUGUGUUUUUUUGGGAAAUCCUGGACAGUUGCAGGAAAAUUGUGUUAUUGUUUUUGUUUACUGGUAUCUCUCUUUCAUGGUUCUCCAUCAAUUGUAAACAUCUAUUGGUUUCUCCCAAGUCACUAAGUAUGUUUUAAUUAGGUACACCUGUUUUUCUUUAUACAUCUCUUUCUGGAGUAUAGGGUUACAUACUGAUGAACCCAGUGUAACUCAAGAACGCAUCUAAUAUCCUAAUAAACCCAUCGUAAUGUUGAAAAAUCAUAAAUCAAACCAUCAUAAGUCAGGGUUUGUCCGUGGUUAUGGGUUUCAUCAUUUCUGUUGUAAUCAUUAAUGCCGUACACGUUUAAAAAUGACAUAGUGGUAGGGAAGGGAUAAUCCUAGCAUUUUAAAAUUCAGUUGUUACAGGGAUCCCACAUAAUAUUUUGUCAUUUAUAUGAGGGUGGAUGAGGGCUGAAAUUUCAUCUUGGGUCUUGGAACAGAUUCAUGGGCACACAUUUUAAAGCGAUUGGUCCUCAGUUCUGCAGAUUAAGAAACUUCAAUUUAUUGAUUCCCCAGGGUAAUGAGAAAAUGCAUUGAGUGAUAUAUAACAUCCACCACAUUCACAGGAAAUGCUGUCCUGGAUCAAAAACUGACCUGGUCAUUGAAUUAUGUUGGAGAACUCAUAAAAAUUCCAUGGAGAAAGUGAUAUUCAAGUUGGGUCAUGAAUUCUGAGUAAAAGUAUAAAGCAAAGGAGAGGAUAGCCUUACAGAGAUAACAAUAGCAACAAAGUCACAGACUUGUGGAAAUGGAAGACCGGGGUAGAAAUUAGGACAGUUCAUAUUCAAGCAAACAGGGUUGGGUUUGUGAACAAAUACCUUGAAGCUUUGGAUGCCUUGGAGCCCUUGACAGUUUUUGAGAAUGUAUCAAAACAAUUAAAUAGUCUAUUUGGAAGUGAGAGCCCUGGUACUUCUAGG